UGUAAGCCCAGCAUUAGACCAGCAAUGUUUUUUCCCCUCAGAGAAAGAAAAAAAGGCUGCAAAAGUACAGGGAGGAAUGGGAAAAGGAAAACACCUGGCUGGAAAAGUGCACGACAACACCUAUAAGGCGCACUGCACUGUGUGCCGGCACACUUUUUCCAUAGGCAUGCUUCUAAUGGUGGGCACAUGAAGAACAUGAGGGGCGUGAAAGCUCGGGGAACCCUUAACCAAUUUUUUGUCCACCAGGCCACGGCAGAAGCAGAUAUGGAUCCAGCACUGAUUCCUGACGCCGUGGGAAGCCAGCACCGGAGUCUGUGCACAGCCCUCUUAGACGAGGCCGAAAGACCUGGGACGUUAAAAUUCGGGUCCAGGCCGGUGUUUUUAGUCUGGUCCACGGCGGUGGGAUUCAGUCUGGCGAUCCGAACCACCAGUGAGACGUCUGAGGGUGAGAAACACUAUUUUGAUAUAUAAAACGGCCGCAAAGGUUUAAAGAAACGGGAUAAAAACAGGUUUAAGUUCGCCAAAAGAACUGUGUUUAGACUGGUUUUAGAGGUAGCCGAAAUUACUUCAUGACAAAUUAAAAUAUGUUCAGGCAAAUUAAAACACGUUGAGACAAAGAAAUUAAAAUAGGUUUAAGUUCGCCAAAAGGAACUGUGUUUAGACUGGUUUUAGAGGUAGCCGUAAAAUACUUCGUGACAAAUUAGCGCGCAAAUGUCUAUCUGUGUGUAUGUGUCUAGAAGUAAGUUGAUUUUACAGCACAAUACGCUGCUGAACUGCUUCUAUUUUAUUUUGUUCUUUGCUUGAGGCUCACACACUGGUGACAAAGGAGAACGGUUGAGCUUCGUCUCAUAAAACUGAUACCGCUUCAGCUCUAGGGUGAAGUCGAAGGCCGUAUCAGUAAACCACUCUGAAGUCAAGCGUGUCAGUGAAGGCCCAGCAAAAUCUUUAAAAAUGGGGAAUAAACAAGCAAAAUUAACACCUGAUGAGGGAUGGUUAGAAAAACAACAAACCGGAGCAGGAAUAAUCCAAAAGAAGGGGAGAGGAAUGGAGAGGCAGACAGGCGAAAAAGAGUAAAAGCAUUAACAAACAAAGAAGACAGUGACUCAGAACAGGAUAGCAGCUCAGGUGAAGAGAAUAGUUCAGAUCAGGAAGAACAUAAUAAUCCCUCACCAAGUGAAAAAUU